GCUUGUUUCAGCCAACAUACACUAAAAUUGGAAUGAUAUAGAGAUUAGCAUGGCCCCUGCAAAGGAUGACAUGCAAAUUUAUGAAGUACUCCAUUUUUCU
ensembl:snRNA U6 U6 spliceosomal RNA